rnacentral:tRNA from 1 species
GUUAAUGUAGCUUAAACUUCCACUAA